rnacentral:rRNA from 1 species
UCGUAAAGCUCUGUUGUUAGGGAAGAACAAGUGCAAGAGUAACUGCUUGCACCUUGACGGUACCUAACCAGAAAGCCACGGCUAACUACGUGCCAGCAGCCGCGGUAAUACGUAGGUGGCAAGCGUUGUCCGGAAUUAUUGGGCGUAAAGGGCUCGCAGGCGGUUUCUUAAGUCUGAUGUGAAAGCCCCCGGCUCAACCGGGGAGGGUCAUUGGAAACUGGGAAACUUGAGUGCAGAAGAGGAGAGUGGAAUUCCACGUGUAGCGGUGAAAUGCGUAGAGAUGUGGAGGAACACCAGUGGCGAAGGCGACUCUCUGGUCUGUAACUGACGCUGAGGAGCGAAAGCGUGGGGAGCGAACAGGAUUAGAUACCCUGGUAGUCCACGCCGUAAACGAUGAGUGCUAAGUGUUAGGGGGUUUCCGCCCCUUAGUGCUGCAGCUAACGCAUUAAGCACUCCGCCUGGGGAGUACGGUCGCAAGACUGAAACUCAAAUGAAUUUGACGGAA